AGUGAACGCUGGCGGCGUGCUUAACACAUGCAAGUCGAACGAGAACGGAUUAUAGCUUGCUAUAAUUGUCAGCUAAGUGGCGCACGGGUGAGUAAUAUAUAGGUAACGUGCCCUAGAGAGGGGGAUAACAGUUGGAAACGAUUGCUAACACCCCAUAUGCCUUUAUCCCAUAAGGGAGCAAGGGAAAUAUUUAUAGCUCUAGGAUCGGCCUGUACAGUAUCAGUUAGUUGGUGAGGUAAUGGCUCACCAAGACAAUGACGCUUAACUGGUUUGAGAGGAUGAUCAGUCACACUGGAACUGAGACACGGUCCAGACUCCUACGGGAGGCAGCAGUGGGGAAUAUUGCACAAUGGACGAAAGUCUGAUGCAGCAACGCCGCGUGGAGGAUGACACAUUUCGGUGCGUAAACUCCUUUUAUAUAGGAAGAUAAUGACGGUACUAUAUGAAUAAGCACCGGCUAACUCCGUGCCAGCA
rnacentral:rRNA from 1 species